AUACCUUUCUUGGCAUUUUGACUAAGAUAAAGUGCAGUAUCUACAAUUUAAUAUCUGGCAUGUGGGCCAUAUGUCCACUUUAAUUUUAAAUUUAUUUUUUGUGGAGACUGGAGAGGGUCCACUUUAAUUUUAAAUUUAUUUUUAUAGGGAAAGUCCAUCAAAC
rnacentral:snRNA from 1 species